UGCAACCUACUACUGAUAUCAUUUACGGUUUCCUCAAGUAGCGGAGGUCUUAGCAGUGGAUCUUAAACAUUCCAACCUUGCUGAUGAAUGAUGUGGGAGACCCCUGUCUCAUCCAGUGCACAGUUUGGACCUGCUUUGUGAUGGAUCAUGGUUAUAUAGUAAAGAAGGAUGUGUGCAAGCACCUUGCCUCAUUUGUUGCAGACACUGGAAGUGAAGUCUUCAAAGAGCUCCAGCAGAUUAGUGAAGCAUGACCUUCCCUGCCCGAAAACCACAGACACUACUGCGAGUUUUGAAGGAGAAACAAAUUCCCCAUGAAGCAGCUUUGUAGAAGAUUCCAUUUACUACAUUACUGUAUCAGAGCAUGUGGAAUUCCAUACAAAAUAAUUUAAAUGAGAAGGAGGCAACGGCAGAUGAACUUUGACAUCAGCAAUAGCUGUAUUUUAUUAACCUGCUGGAAGUGGUUAUUUCUUCACAUAUUUA